rnacentral:rRNA from 1 species
UACGUAGGGUGCGAGCGUUGUCCGGAAUUAUUGGGCGUAAAGGGCUCGUAGGCGGUUUGUCGCGUCGGGAGUGAAAACCUCGGGCUUAACUCGGGGCUUGCUUUCGAUACGGGCAGACUGGAGGUAUGCAGGGGAGAACGGAAUUCCUGGUGUAGCGGUGAAAUGCGCAGAUAUCAGGAGGAACACCGGUGGCGAAGGCGGUUCUCUGGGCAUGACCUGACGCUGAGGAGCGAAAGUGUGGGGAGCGAACAGGAUUAGAUACCCCCGUAGUCC